rnacentral:misc_RNA from 1 species
UGAAACAAUGGUAGCACUUAACAUAGCACCACAAAAUUAUAUAGCACGUUGGAGUACUCUUGCUGUACACUCUGACGUAGCAGGCCACGAAGGAAGGAGAAUAGUGGCAUACGUACAGUAUAUGUAUGUGCCUCCGCAUACAGCUGUAUGAACGUGCUAAACCUUCAGAUUAUGAUAAUGUUGCAUUGAUUCAAAAGGCUUUCUAACCUCUCACAUAGACCUGAGAUUAAAGCCUGAAGGAAAAAGACUAGAAUGUGACGUUAAAUUCAAAGUCCAGUUACACCAUAUUGCUUCACGUCUCGAGGCUUCGGAGCUCCUUAUUGAACAUUUGUUUCGAACUUCGGCUCGAGCAGAGGCCGGCAGACAGCAGCGGAUUCCUUGGCAGACAGAGCGGUUCCUUGAGGCAGAACGGUAAAUGGCUGUGUACGUGUGGUUCCUUCUGGGUCUACGUUCAGAGUGGCCACACCCAUCCAGACGCCAUGGUUUCCUUCACAUCAACUUCAAGAAUGACAUGGUGACGUUACUUGCUCAACUUCAAGAAUGACAUGGUUACGUUACUUGCUCAUAUCUUUGGCCUUGUGUAUGUGCUGAAUGUAAGGAUAAUCAAUGAACUCUUCUGUGAUUAUUAGAGCAACCAGUCUUCUGUACACCCCGGCUAUUCGACAGUCCCAAGUGAGGGCUAGGAAUGCAGGAAGAAAAUGUCCCAUGGAAUGCAUCCUCCAAGAUAAAUAUACUUUAUAAGAGUAGUUUAUCUAUUUAUAUUAUCUUUUGUUAUGUUUCUGUGCAAUAAUUAUUGUUUAUAUAUAUCUUUUCUUACCUGAAAACAUGUAAAAAAAUAAAAGGGGGUGCUCUUUUUAGGAAGGCUGGAACAGAUUAAUGACAUCUCAGUGCAUUUCAAUGGGAAAAAUUGUUUUGAGAUACGAGCUCCGUCACAGAACGAAUUACAGGCAACCCCCGUUUAACGAAGGUUCACACAAUGAAAUUUCGCUACAACGAAGGUUUCAUUUUA